CCUAUUUGUUCAAGAGAAUUAUAAAUAACUUCCCUCAAAUCUUGAUCAGAUAAAACAUUGCUUCGGAUGUGUUCCAUGCUAUCUUCAUACAAUGAAGAUCUUAUGGGUUAGACUGAGUUUCCAAAAAGAAAAGAAAAAAAACCAUUAUUAAGUCGUAAGCUUACCUAUCUACGGCACCUGCAAUUAAAGGAGCAGCCCUAAACUGGUCUUUACUUUUGAGUGUGCGAUCUUUCACCAUUUCUUCAUCAAUGAUUUUUUUCAGCCGAUCUAAUAAAGGCCCUGAUUCCUGAGGCGAUGUUAGUAUGGCAAAAGAGUGAGUGACAUUGGUAUCAUUAUGAUAGUUAAAAAAAAUAGUGAUAGUUUAAUUUUUGAGGAAACUAUCGAUGACCCUACCUUUUCAUUUACUGUUUCUAGAAUUUGUUUUCGAAGGCGAUCAAAAUGUCCUUCUUUUUUAAAUUUAGAUACAAGUUCAUCAACAUUAAGUGUUACAUCCCUAUCCAUGCCUUUUGUUUAUGAAUUGACUACACGGUAAAAUAAUGUGGUAAAGAAAAGAAUUUUCACGAAAUGUAAAGAUUUGAUUACAGAUUAUUCGGCCAUAUUUAUACUACCUUAUUAAUAAAACUCGAGUUAUUUUACAAGACACAUUUAACUUGAAUUAAUUGAUCGUGUCUUGAUUGCUCAAUGUAAAAGUUCUUGAAGUAAUAUCUCGCAGAAGGGACUUCGUACAAUCACCCUGUAAGAAACACGUACUAACGAGGUUUAACUUAAAUGCGAUGUUCUGUUGUUAAGGCUUUACUUUGACCGUUUGGCUAGUGAAUUUUCUUAUGUGUUUAUGGUUGAACUUGCGUUAUGUAGGUAGUGCAAUGUGAGUUUCCCAUCUAAAAAAUUAUCAAACUUCUGUUUGGUUUCGCGUAUUACACUUACAAUUAAAAGGAUUGGCAUUGGUUCCUAUUGCUACAACAAGUAAUACAUGAAAGUAAAAAAAAGGCAUAAAAUUAUGAGCAUUUGCAAGUCCUAAUGCUUGUAUUAUACCCACUAAUGAUCAAUUAAUAUACAGUCAAGUGGUAACUAUAACAACUUUUCGAAAGAUAAGAGUUAAAAACCUGUUUUAAA